rnacentral:rRNA from 1 species
UACAGAGGGUGCGAGCGUUAAUCGGAUUUACUGGGCGUAAAGGGCACGUAGGCGGUGAGAUGGGUGUGAUGUGAAAGCCCUGGGCUUAACCUGGGAAGUGCAUCGCAAACUAUCUGACUGGAGUAUAUGAGAGGGUGGCGGAAUUUCCGGUGUAGCGGUGAAAUGCGUAGAGAUCGGAAGGAACGUCAAUGGCGAAGGCAGCCACCUGGCAUAAUACUGACGCUGAGGUGCGAAAGCGUGGGGAGCGAACAGG